AAUCAACGCUGGCGGCGUGCCUAACACAUGCAAGUCGAGCGCGAAAGGGAGCAAUCCCCAAGUAGAGCGGCGGACGGGUGAGUAACACGUGGGUAACCUACCCUCGGGUGGGGAAUAACUCAGGGAAACUUGAGCUAAUUCCGCAUAACAUCCCGGGCUCAUAAGAGUCCGGAAUCAAAGCUGGGGACCCUUCGGGGCCUGGCGUCUGAGGAGGGGCCCGCGGCCGAUUAGCUAGUUGGCGAGGUAACGGCUCACCAAGGCGACGAUCGGUAGCCGGCCUGAGAGGGCGGACGGCCACACUGGAACUGAGACACGGUCCAGACUCCUACGGGAGGCAGCAGUGGGGAAUCUUUGGCAAUGGGGGCAACCCUGACCAAGCAACGCCGCGUGGAGGACGAAGGCCCUCGGGUCGUAAACUCCUGUCGGACGGGACGAAUGCGGUUGGGUCGAAUAAGCCCAGCCGUUGACGGUACUGUACGAGGAAGCCCCGGCUAACUCCGUG
rnacentral:rRNA from 1 species